CCCCUUCACUCCAGGAUAAACAAACAUCCGACUCAACAAUUAGCUGACGGAGAGGAGAGCGGGCUGCCGGGCUGGAUCUCCAUCCAGAUUUCCCAAGCGUGGCCCUGGACGACCAGCCCCGAGCACACCACAAAUGUUCUGCAGAGAUAUUGGCGAUGCUGAGACACAUUCAGUCUUUAUUCCGGAGAAUUAAACGGAGGGCGGGGGCCGGGGCUGACCCUGAGCCAGAGGUCGAUGGUCCUUCAGCGCCGCCUACCAGCGGAGCAGAGAAAACCGCAUCUCGCUGACGCUGCGGGAGAAUUCGGCGAAUGACGAAACCUUCCGGCGUUGGCCAGAAAAGCAGCCAAAGGAGGAGGAAGGAACGAGAACUGGGACGCUCGCGAGCCCAGCGGCAGCACAGGCCAGGAAGGACUCAAGGCAUCUAGUGGACAAUCUGCCAGGUUUUGUUGGAAAGAUUCGCGAUGAAGCUGUUUCUGUAAAUUUGUAAAAUUAGCCGGGCGUGGCGUAAUGCCAGCAUCUAAGAGGGAGAGUCGGGAGGAUUGGGAGAGUUGAGGCCAGACUGAUUGGUGAAGUGAGUUAUAGGCUAGCCUGGGCUACUCAGAGGCAUCACGGGAAACAUAGGAAAACCCCGCAUCGAAAAGCAAGACGGAGGAGGAGAGAGGAAGUCAAUUUAAAUAAGGCACAGAUCACGCCUUAUUUGUUCAAGCUUUCUGUUUUGGUGCCAGAGAGUAAGAUGUGUCAGCUCCUGGCAGCACCCCCAUUGUACUUCAAAGAAGUUAAUGGGUAUUGAAGAACCUCCAUUUGGAGUUUGCCUCAAAUGUGGCACGCUAGCUACUGGACAAGAAACUGCCCUUGACUCAACUGCAGAAGGCAUGCUGUCCAAAUUGUAGACAAUCUGGAUGUAGGGAAGUCGACUGCAAAGACAAGAAAAACAGUCCUUCCUAAUUCCUGCUUCAUAAACAGUCUGUCAUAUACUGGAAAGGAUGCCUCAGUGUUGCUGAGGAGUACUGGGUGACUGUCCAGGCAGCCAGCUCUUUCUGUCAUUUCUAAAGUUUUGGAGGAUGCUUGCUCUGUACUUCCUACUUACUCAGAGCCCCAAAAUCCUGGCAGAGUUCUCCAAGGUCUCUGAGAAGAUUUGGGCACAGUGACAGAUGACGACUCUGGAUUGUGAUAUGCGAGACUGCCCCAACUGGCCCAUCGCUAGGACCCAGCCUAAACUGUGGACAAAGCUGUGGACCCCUGGAGAGUCAUAGUUUCACGUUGCUGAAGAUGAGGUCCCAGACGCUGUGGAGCCAGAUCCAAGAACUGGUUAGGCCCACCUGGAGCCCAAUUAUCAGAGAGGCAGUUGAAGGAAACUCAGAGACGGAUCGUUGCAAAUGCAAGAGGUUUAUUCAGGUCAAAGCACCAUGGGGCUGCUUUGCAAGUCAGCAGGGAACAGCCCUGAGAGACAAAAGCCUUGGGUUUUUCUAAAGAAAAAGCACAGGAAGCGCAGGGGAGGGGGAUUGCAAGCUUGGCAGUUUAGGAUUGGGUGACGGGCUAUAGGGUGGUUGACUUUGAAAAUGAUUGGUUCAUUUUAGGCGCCCAAGUCCAGUCAGUCCUGCCCUGGACAUCUAGACGCUAUCUGAUCUUCAAGUUACACCCCGAAUAUCCUGGGUGGGGGACCAUCUGCAAUAGUUGCGACCCUAUCUCAUACUGCAGGCCUGAACAUUCUUCUGAGGGGUGGAGACCUUUGGAGCGGUUGCUGGGCAACGUUAUCUCGCAACUGCCAGUCUGGUGGUCAUUCCUUUGCAACAGGGUGGGUCUUGUCUCAAUUUACCGGCUUCUCCUUUUGUCCUGGAAAAGUACUGGGAGAACUUAGUUUAAUAUGGGGUAUAAAAUUAAUAAAGAAACCUGU